UUGAAAGGGAAACGAUUGAAGUCAGUCGGACCAGCGAGGAUCAACCUUUCGAGUGGGUGAUUGGAGUUUUUUGAAGAGUGUCAAAACCUUUAUUUCAAAAUAUUCGCUCUUUUGGUGUACUUUCUCGUGGGUAGGUUAACAUCGAUUUUGAUCAUCAUAAAAAGAUUGGAGGAAUGUAGCUUCGAUCUUGUAUUGAAGUGUUAUAGCCUUUGGUAAAUGUGAUGAUUAGGAUCGAGGAUUGCAACGAAUACCCUUUUGGGCUAUCCGCCUGAUCUCUGAUACGUGGCCUUGGUAUCGAAAGCGUGCUUAUGGUAUUGAGGUAUUACGGUCAAAAGGUUAGAACGGAUUACAUUCGUUAAGGAUGUUGACGUA
rnacentral:rRNA from 1 species